UACGUAGGGGGCAAGCGUUGUCCGGAUUCAUUGGGCGUAAAGAGCGUGUAGGCGGCCCUGUGUGUCGGGUGUGAAAGCCCACCUCUUAAAGGUGGAAUUGCAUUCGAAACUACAGGGCUGGAGUGUCGGAGAGGAUGGCGGAAUCCUGGUGUAGAGGUGAAAUUCGUAGAUAUCAGGAGGAACACCGGUGGCGAAGGCGGCCAUCUGGACGACAACUGACGCUGAG
rnacentral:rRNA from 1 species